rnacentral:rRNA from 1 species
GUAGGUGGCAAGCGUUGUCCGGGAAUUAUUGGGGCGUAAAGCGCGCGCAGGCGGUUCUUUAAGUCUGAUGUGAAAGCCCACGGGCUCAACCGUGGAGGGUCAUUGGAAACUGGAGAACUUGAGUACAGAAGAGGGAAGCGGAAUUCCACGUGUAGCGGUGAAAUGCGUAGAGAUGUGGAGGAACACCAGUGGCGAAGGCGGCUUUCUGGUCUGUAACUGACGCUGAGGCGCGAAAGCGUGGGGAGCAAACAGGAUUAGAUACCCUGGUAGUCCACGCCGUAAGCGAUGAGUGCUAAGUGUUAGGGGGUUUCCGCCCCUUAGUGCUGCAGCUAACGCAUUAAGCACUCCGCCUGGGGAGUACGGCCGCAAAGGCUG